CCUGUUUAUCAAAAACAUCUCUUAAAAUUUAAGUACAGCCUGCUCAGUGAAAAAUUUUUAACAGCCAGCAUAUGCUAAGGUAGCAUAGUAAUUUGCUUUAUAAUUAAAAGAUAGAAUGAAAGGCUAUUCUUAAAUAAAUUAUUAAAAAUUAGCAUUAAAAUUUUAUGCUGGUGAAAAUACCCGUAUAAAUUUUUUAGACGAUAAGACCCUAUGAAGCUUUACUAUUUAUUUAGUUUUUUUGGGGCAAAAUAUAAUAUUUUUAUUUUUUUUUUAGAAAAAUUUUGAUCUUUAGGAAUUUUAAGAAAAAGCUACUCUAGGGAUAACAGCAUAAUUUUUAUAAAAGUUCUUAUUAAAAUAAAAGUUUGUGACCNCGAUGUUGA
rnacentral:rRNA from 1 species